rnacentral:rRNA from 1 species
UACAUGGGGUGCAAACGUUGCUCGGAAUUAUUGGGCGUAAAGCGCGCGUAGGCGGUUACUCAAGUCGGAUGUGAAAGCCCUCGGCUUAACUGAGGAAGUGCACCCGAAGCUGAGUAGCUAGAGUACUAAAGAGGGUCGCGGAAUUCCCGGUGUAGAGGUGAAAUUCGUAGAUAUCAGGAGGAACACCGGUGGCGAAGGCGGGUCUCUGGGCAGUAACUGACGCUGAGGAGCGAAAGCGUGGGGAGCGAACAGG